rnacentral:rRNA from 1 species
GGAGGAAAGCAGGGGAUCGCAAGACCUUGCGCUUUUGGAGCGGCCGAUGUCUGAUUAGCUAGUUGGUGGGGUAAAGGCUUACCAAGGCAACGAUCAGUAGUUGGUCUGAGAGGACGACCAGCCACACUGGGACUGAGACACGGCCCAGACUCCUACGGGAGGCAGCAGUGGGGAAUUUUGGACAAUGGGCGAAAGCCUGAUCCAGCCAUGCCGCGUGAGUGAAGAAGGCCUUCGGGUUGUAAAGCUCUUUCAGUCGAGAAGAAAAAACUGCGACUAAUAAUCGCAAUUCAUGACGGUAUCGACAGAAGAAGCACCGGCUAACUACGUGCCAGCAGCCGCGGUAAUACGUAGGGUGCAAGCGUUAAUCGGAAUUACUGGGCGUAAAGGGUGCGCAGGCGGCCUUGUAAGUCAGAUGGAAAAUCCCCGGGCUUAACCUGGGAA